CCCCAUUUCCCAUCUUCUCACCUCCCAAUUCCCAAAUUCUUCCCCCCCACUUCCAGCUUAUUACUCUCCCAUGGCUGCUUUGACUUCGAUUAACGGUGGCCGCUGUGAGGCCGGUGAAGUACAUGUCAUCAUUGGCCCCAUGUUUGCUGGCAAAACCACCGAUUUACUCCGUCGUAUCGAAUCUGAGAGCAGCAGUGGCAGAAAUGUGGCAAUGAUAAAAUCAAGCAAGGACACAAGAUAUGCAAACGAUUCGGUGGUCACACAUGAUGGCUUGAAAUUUCCUUGCUGGUCUUUGCCAGAUCUCUCCUCUUUCCAUCACAAGCUUGGAGAUGAUGAAUAUCACAAGCUUGACGUGAUUGGCAUUGACGAGGCUCAAUUUUUUGAAGAUCUUUAUGAAUUCUGUUGCAAGGCUGCUGAUCAUGAUGGGAAAACUAUAAUUGUAGCUGGCCUUGAUGGGGAUUAUUUGAGGAGGAGCUUCGGAUCUGUGCUUGAUGUAAUACCUCUUGCUGAUACUUUAACAAAGCUGACAGCAAGGUGUGAACUUUGUGGCAAGCGAGCCUUCUUUACCUUGAGGAAGACAGCAGAGACCCAGACAGAAUUGAUUGGAGGAUCUGAUGUCUACAUGCCUGUUUGCCGCCAGCACUAUGUCAGUGGGCAAGCAGUCAUAGAAUCAACAAGGAACGUCCUUGAAUCCUAUAAGGUUCCAACUGACUCCCAUAUUUAGGUAGCUGCAGUCAUGUAAUGUGCUGACUGGGAGCCCACGCGUGGCUUUUCCAUUAGUUAUCUAUUUUAUCUGCAGAUUGCAGUUUAUGUACAAUGCUGAAUUGGGGGCUUCCAUGGUUCCAGAUAAGUUGAAAACAUCAAUAGAGACAUGAGUUAUGACGAGAAAUAAAAGCUCAGUACAAACCUUCAGAGCCUACGUCUAGAGAAACCGGGCAGCAUUGCACAGGCAAUAUAAAAGAGGAGUUCAUCACUCUCCCAACAUGAUGAGAGCUGGAUAGGCCUGUUACCAACUAUAUGAAGAGUUUAAGCAAGAAUAAGAGAAAAGAUGAACUUGCCAUUCAACAGAAGGUCUCAACACUAGUUGUUAGGCUGUUAUUCACACAUGGGAAAGUGAAUUCUCUGGAUGGGUAAACCUCUUCUUAUUCGAGCAAGAAACUAACACCAUCCGGUGUUCAAGAUCCAGAUCUCUAUCGAGAUUGUUGAGCCUGAUGAGAUGAUUUGAUAACAUGGGAUUCUUGGAUACAAUUGAAUUCAAGAUGGUGCCUAGGGUUCAUGUUUGAAAAAGAGAUGAUCUAAUCACAUUUAUUUUCUUUUUUUAAUAUAACAAUAUACAUUUUGAAUGACGAUUGUAUUUUAUUUUUAAUGAUUAGCACAAUCACAGAGUAAUCAAUUGGAUUACUUGAUAAUAAGUUAAACUAUAUAUUACGAUAUAAUAAAUAUAAAUGUUUUAUAGUA